rfam:Picea glauca, whole genome shotgun sequence.
ACAUGCCUACAACAUAGUGUUAAUGCACUGAAUUCCAUUAGAACUACACAGUUAAGUGCGCUCAGGAUAGAGUAGUACUGGAAUGGGUGAACACCCGAGAAUUACUAGUGGUUUACAUGCC